UACGUAGGGUGCAAGCGUUGUCCGGAAUUAUUGGGCGUAAAGAGCUCGUAGGCGGUCUGUUGCGUCGGCUGUGAAAGCCCGAGGCUCAACCUCGGGCCUGCAGCCGAUACGGGCAGACUAGAGUUCGGCAGGGGAGACUGGAAUUCCUGGUGUAGCGGUGAAAUGCGCAGAUAUCAGGAGGAACACCAAUUGCGAAGGCAGCUCGCUGGGACGUUACUGACGCUGAGACGCGAAAGCGUGGGGAGCAAACAGG
rnacentral:rRNA from 1 species